rnacentral:ncRNA from 1 species
AUGAUACUUCCGCUUAGUCACAGCCCCCUUGGCAGGGGAACACGCAAUGAGGGCGGCUUCCAGAGAACCUGGGAGAGGUUAGAAGCCUAUGA